rnacentral:rRNA from 1 species
AUGGCUUGUGUCCAAUUUCGAAACAUUUGUAAGGUGCCGGUGUGUGUCUCUGUCUUCUCACCGGCCACUAGGGAGUGGCAGGUUUUGCCAUGGCCGGCUCCACCACAGCCUGUGGAUGACGACGGAGACAACUGGUUCGGCUUUUACCCUGGUAUGCAGAUGAAUGGAUUCGUUUAUUGGAAACACAAGAGUAAAGCCUAUCUACUUGUUCUCAACAACGAGACACUGCAGUUCUCUAGACUGAAUUUGCCGCAUUUCUGGGGAAAGAUAGACCCUACGCUGUUUAAGCUUGGUCAGACCAAGGAUGGGAAGCUCUGCAUGGUUGCUGCAGAUGACUCUGACGCAAAUAUAGGAACGCUUGUUGUUCAUGUUUGGGGAGCUGAUGAUGACGGUGUUGAGAAAUGGAUGCCGGCAGAUACUUAUCCACUGAGUACAUUUAUUGACGCCGAUAAGUAUUUAACAGAGGAUGAUACCACGGUGCAGAUUGAGGCCGUUAUCGAUGGCUUUCUGUACCUGUCUAUUAAGUAUGAUGAUUAUACCGAGUCCCUCGUAUCUUUCUGCCUGGAAACAGCAGAGCUAAACACGCUCUUUGAUGAUACAUAUGCAAGCCCUGCUUAUCCCUACAUCAUGUCAUGGCCUCCUUCUUUGGUAUGCAACAAGGUGAGGCCGUGA